rnacentral:lncRNA from 1 species
CAAAAUAGUUAUCUAUAUUACUUAUAAAAGCAUGUGUUUUAAAUUUUUUUCCCUUUUCAAAAAUAUCUCUAUCUUUUCUUCUAAUAUUUUCAAGUCCAGUAAUUAUCAACUAUUCGUUUCAAAUAAUUGUUUAAAUAAUAAUUUAUUUUCAAAUAUAGAUCUUAAAUUUUUACCAUUCGAUCUCAUUCAACGAUUAAAAAUAAAAGUAUUUAUCACUUUUCUUGACGAAAAUACCCUCAAUAUCCAUUAUCUCCUAUGUACGCGUUUUACAAAUAUCUACGCGUUUUCUCAAACGUAAUUCCCGUCACAAUUUAAAAUAUCCGUUUUAUCCUAUCUACGGCUGGCGUUUCUUAAAUAUUUUGUUUCUCACACGUAAUGUCACGCCCCGAAUUACCACGUUUUUCCGGGCGCGCCAACAGACCCGCCGUAUAUAAAAGAAUUUUCUCUAUAUACGAAGUGAUAGCUGUACCUGUACCUGUAAUAUUACAAAACUAUAACUAGUAGUAUGGAGCUGCUAACAGAACUGUAAACAAAUAUAGAUAAACAUCAAGUUCACUAUACAUAUAUAGUCUCCUAAAUACAGACAUCACUUACUCCAGCGAGUACCAGCAAGUAUGUACAUGAACCAAAAACUCAAAACUACCUGUAGAUGGUACUCCUCUAGAACUGCAAUCAGGGAAGAGAUCUAGCUCGCAACUCCCUUUCCACGAUCAGUAUCGGCGACAGCGGCAGCCGCAGAAGGAGGCUCUGCAAAAAAGGGUCAACAACUGGGUGUGGAAACUACUGCAAAAAGAAAUAGUUCUUAGUGGGUACCG